UGGCCGGAAGAUCGACGGGCAAAAUCCCGUCCGAAAAACAAUGCUUAUGAUUCUGAACUUUCUUUGCAUCUCAUAGUUCCUCAAUGGAAGCGGCGGAUUCAUGUUAGGGUUCGUGAUUCUGGUUUGAAUCUUUUGGUUUUGUUAAUGGUUUUUCGGAUUCUGUGUCUGCCCGUCACUGUUACUUAAACUCCCCGAUCUUCUCUCAAUGCUUUGUUUACGCUUUAAUGGUGGAACCGACAUUGAGGUCUAAUUCUAAGUUCUAACAGCAAAAUUUGUAGUUCAGUUACUUGUAGUAGUUAAUUAGGAAACCGCUUGCCUCUGCUGUUUCUCGUAGAUCUUUUCUGGUGGUGUUGUUCUUUGAGGCCGUUCUCUUUCAGGGAGGCAUGUUUUGUACGUUCUUACUCUGAUUUCGCUUUUAUUUGGACUCUUUGGAUGUGCGGUUUUUGUUUCUUACCUACUCUUUUCUAACAUCGUCACCGACGAGAUUGCAUUCUCAUUCAGUGUUUGUUGCUUUUUCGAAAUCUCUAAGCAAUCACAGAAAUUUCGCUUUUCGGAUUUUCUCUGAGUUCAAAUUGGAUGCCGAACUUCCUGGGAAUCGAUCUGAGACAUAUCGGUUCAAGAUCUGUUCAAUCCAUGCCCGGUUUCAUUUAGCAUUACCCCCAAUUGGUCCGUCGCAAUGAAGCGCACGGUCCGUCCGGUGUUCAGCGUGCUGCUGUUCAUUACCUUUACCGUCACUCUCAUUUGCCGCCUUAUCUUCCGUCGUGGCCUCAGUUCCAUUGAGUUGGAAACUAAUGUAAUCGCUCCGAGACCUCCAGCAUUUGUGUUCAAUUCCACACUGCUGAACUUCGCUUCGGUUGAUCUCGGAGAGGCGCAGUCGAAGCGAGAGAUAGAGCAAUUAUUGGAGGCCAACUUUGGUGGUCCCAGGACGUACAAGACUUAUGCUACUUGGCGAAGGUUCAAUCAAUAUAACAAGAAAGAAAGGCCCCCAAAUAGCUUUCCAGUGACAUUCCGGUCACCAGCUUUCUACCGACAUUGGCUGGAUUUCAGGCGAGCGUUGAGUAGCUGGGUGAGAAAAAAAGGGUUUACGACGGAUAUAAUGCCAGAACUGGUAAGACUCGUCAAAGAUCCAUUGGACAGAUACAAUGGGUCUGUGGGUUCAGAUCAAAGAUAUUCAUCAUGUGCCGUCGUGGGGAACAGUGGAAUCUUAUUGAACAGUGAUUAUGGGAAGCUAAUUGACAGCCACGAGAUUGUUAUUCGAUUGAACAACGCGAAAACAGACAACUAUGAGAGCAAAGUGGGAUCUAAAACCAGCGUUUCUUUCAUCAAUAGCAACAUCUUGCAUCUUUGUGCCAGAAGAGAAGGGUGUUUUUGCCAUCCUUAUGGGCCAAAUGUGCCAACAGUCAUGUACAUUUGUCAACCUGUACAUUUCAUGGACUACACUAUCUGCAACGGUUCCCACAAAUCUCCACUGCUGAUAACAGAUCCAAGUUUUGAUGCUCUGUGCUCUAGGAUUGUUAAGUAUUACUCUGUCAAACGCUUUGUGGAGGUAACAGGGAAGUCGUUGGAAGAAUGGAGCUCAGCCCACGAAGGUCCUUUGUUCCACUAUUCUUCUGGCAUGCAAGCCGUUAUGUUGGCCGUAGGAAUUUGUGAUAAAGUAAGUAUAUUUGGAUUUGGUAAAUCGGUUUCAGCAAAGCAUCAUUAUCAUACAAACCAGAAAGCUGAACUGGGUUUGCACGAUUACGAGGCAGAGUAUGCUUUCUAUUAUGAUUUGAUUGCUAGGCCACAGAGAAUACCUUUCUUGUCGGACAAGUUCAAGAUUUCAUAUAUUCUCAGCAACUGGUGACUAAAGCAAGAAAGAGCUUUGCAGUACUACCAUGACCUUUUGCAUCAGAUGGACAGCAAACCAACAUCCCAAUCAUAUUUGCAGGUGAACACAGAUGAGCUCCCCAACAAAGAAGCCAGUGAAAAGCAAAACAAUCAAAUCCAAGUUUUUCAACUAGCUGAGACUGAGAGACCAUUCCAUGGAUUCCCCUUAAGAUUGCAAACACUUAAUGACAGAGACAACUCUUCCAAGAUAGACACGUCCAUGCUUGUUCUUGACUUCUCUGUCAUAUUAGUAGAAUUCCAUGUGUUAAGUGGCACCUGGGUGGCUGCCACGUGUCCAAUUGGUUGCCUUUUGAAAGCCUCCGCCAUUGACAGGUGGUGAACGUUAAAACUCCUCAUGGGUUUGGUUUCCUUUGUCCCUUCUGUAAUUCCUGCUCAUUAAUUUGUUGAUUGAGCCCUAGAGAGAAUGAGAGCCAAGAAGGAAAUAUGCAAAAUAUUUCAUUUCAUUCCAAUUCAAAUGUAAACUGAAAGCAUGUUUUAAGAUAGGGAAUAAAUGGGAAAGAAAGGAAGCCAUGGGUUGCCUCACAGA